rnacentral:rRNA from 1 species
UACGAGUGGUGCGAGCGUUAUUCGGAAUUAUUGGGCGUAAAGGGUGCGCAGGCGGUAUAUUAAGUCAACUGUUAAAGACCCCGGCUUAACUGGGGGGCAGCGGUAGAUACUGGUAUGCUAGAGGGUGGAAGAGAGAAGUGGAAUUCUUGGAGUAGCGGUAAAAUGCGUAGAUCUCAAGAGGAACACCGAUGGCGAAGGCAGCUUCUUGGUCCACACCUGACGCUCAUGCACGAAAGCGUGGGGAGCAAACAGG